UACGGGGGGGGCAAGCGUUGUUCGGAAUUAUUGGGCGUAAAGGGCUCGUAGGCGGUUUGUCGCGUCGGGAGUGAAAACCUCGGGCUUAACUCGGGGCUUGCUUUCGAUACGGGCAGACUGGAGGUAUGCAGGGGAGAACGGAAUUCCUGGUGUAGCGGUGAAAUGCGCAGAUAUCAGGAGGAACACCGGUGGCGAAGGCGGUUCUCUGGGCAUGACCUGACGCUGAGGAGCGAAAGUGUGGGGAGCGAACAGG
rnacentral:rRNA from 2 species